rnacentral:rRNA from 1 species
CUACGGGAGGCUGCAGUGAGGAAUAUUGCACAAUGGGGGGAACCCUGAUGCAGCAACGCCGCGUGGAGGAUGACGCAUUUCGGUGUGUAAACUCCUUUUAUAUGUCAAGAAAAUGACGGUAGCAUAUGAAUAAGCACCGGCUAACUCCGUGCCAGCAGCCGCGGUAAUACGGAGGGUGCAAGCGUUACUCGGAAUCACUGGGCGUAAAGGACGCGUAGGCGGGUUGGAAAGUCAGGUGUGAAAUCCUACAGCUUAACUGUAGAACUGCACUUGAAACUUCUAAUCUAGAGUAUGGGAGGGGGAGAUGGAAUUAGUGGUGUAGGGGUAAAAUCCGUAGAUAUCACUAGGAAUACCUAAAGCGAAGGCGAUUUCCUGGAACAUUUCUGACGCUGAGGCGUGAAAGCGUGGGGAGCAAACAGGAUUAGAUACCCGUGUAGUC